AUUGACCGCUGGCGGCAGGCCUAACACAUGCAAGUCGAACGAGUGGCGGACGGGUGAGUAAUGUCUGGGAAACUGCCUGAUGGAGGGGGAUAACUACUGGAAACGGUAGCUAAUACCGCAUACCAUCGGAUGUGCCCAGAUGGGAUUAGCUAGUAGGUGGGGUAAAGGCUCACCUAGGCGACGAUCCCUAGCUGGUCUCAGAGGAUGACCAGCCACACUGGAACUGAGCCACGGUCCAUACUACUACGUGGUGCAGCAGUGGGGAAUAUUGCACAAUGGGCGCAAGCCUGAUGCAGCCAUAGCGCGUGUAUGAAGAUGGCCUUCGAGUUGUAAAGUACUUUCCGCGGGGGAGAGUUACCCGCAGAAGAAGCACCGGCUAACUCCGUGCCAGCAGCCGCGGUAAUUC
rnacentral:rRNA from 1 species